AGCGGCGGCUACACAUGCAAGUCGAGCGGUAACAGAAAGUAGCUUGCUACUUUGCUGACGAGCGGCGGACGGGUGAGUAAUGCUUGGGAACAUGCCUUGAGGUGGGGGACAACAGUUGGAAACGACUGCUAAUACCGCAUAAUGUCUACGGACCAAAGGGGGCUUCGGCUCUCGCCUUUAGAUUGGCCCAAGUGGGAUUAGCUAGUUGGUGAGGUAAUGGCUCACCAAGGCGACGAUCCCUAGCUGGUUUGAGAGGAUGAUCAGCCACACUGGGACUGAGACACGGCCCAGACUCCUACGGGAGGCAGCAGUGGGGAAUAUUGCACAAUGGGCGCAAGCCUGAUGCAGCCAUGCCGCGUGUGUGAAGAAGGCCUUCGGGUUGUAAAGCACUUUCAGUCAGGAGGAAAGGUUAGUAGUUAAUACCUGCUAGCUGUGACGUUACUGACAGAAGAAGCACCGGCUAACUCCGUGCCAGCAGCCGCGGUAAUACGGAGGGUGCGAGCGUUAAUCGGAAUUACUGGGCGUAAAGCGUACGCAGGCGGUUUGUUAAGCGAGAUGUGAAAGCCCCGGGCUCAACCUGGGAACUGCAUUUCGAACUGGCAAACUAGAGUGUGAUAGAGGGUGGUAGAAUUUCAGGUGUAGCGGUGAAAUGCGUAGAGAUCUGAAGGAAUACCGAUGGCGAAGGCAGCCACCUGGGUCAACACUGACGCUCAUGUACGAAAGCGUGGGGAGCAACAGGAUUAGAUACCCUGGUAGUCCACGCCGUAAACGAUGUCUACUAGAAGCUCGGAGCCUCGGCUCUGUUUUUCAAAGCUAACGCAUUAAGUAGACCGCCUGGGGAGUACGGCCGCAAGGUUAAAACUCAAAUGAAUUGACGGGGGCCCGCACAAGCGGUGGAGCAUGUGGUUUAAUUCGAUGCAACGCGAAGAACCUUACCUACACUUGACAUACAGAGAACUUACCAGAGAUGG
rnacentral:rRNA from 1 species